UCGUGAUUUGGGCUAUAUUACGGGGCGAAAUUAUAUGUUCGGACAUUGUUUUCGAAUAUUUUGGAUGUAUCAAAUCUCUUAUAAACAAGAUAAGGUAUUCCUACAUAGCUGGUGGAACCCACGGCAAAUCGAACAUAAAGUCUUCAAAAAAGAAUAUAUACGAUUGCAUUGCAUGUAGUACCGGAUGCGAUCAUACCAGCACUAAUGCACCAGAUCCCAUCAAAACUCCGCAGUUAAGCGUGCUUGGGCGAGAGUAGUACUAGGAUGGGUGACCUCCUGGAAAGUCCUCGUGUUGCAUCCCUCUUUUUUUUUGGUUUUUCUGUUUUGUUUUGUCAAAAAUGUAUGACUCUAGAACUUUUAGACCGUGAGGCCAAACUUGGCAUGUGAUACCUUUUCGGAAAGCCCAAAUAGAGCUCUCCGAUGAAUGAGGAAGGAAAUGGAAUUCUUUAUUGUGUUUUUUUCUACUCCAAUUUGACCUUACUACUUUUCGGA
rnacentral:rRNA from 1 species